AUUGAACGCUGGCGGCAGGCCUAACACAUGUAAGUCGAACGAGUGGCGGACGGGUGAGUAAUGUCUGGGAAACUGCCCGAUGGAGGGGGAUAACUACUGGAAACGGUAGCUAAUACCGCAUACCAACGGAUGUGCCCAGAGGGGAUUAGCUAGUAGGUGGGGUAACGGCUCACCUAGGCGACGAUCCCUAGCUGGUCUGAGAGGAUGACCAGCCACACGUGAACUGAGACACGGUCCAGACUCCUCCGGUAGGCAGCAGUGGGGAAUAUUGCACAAUGGGAGCAAGCCUGGUGCAGCCAUGCCGCGUGUAUGAAGAAGGCCUUCGGGGUGUAAAGUACUUUCAGCGAGGAGGCGUUACUCGCAGAAGAAGCACCGGCUAACUCCGUGCCAGCAGCCGCGGUAAUUC
rnacentral:rRNA from 1 species